rnacentral:rRNA from 1 species
CGCGCGAUACAGGGUGACAGCCCCGUACACAAAAAUGCACAUGCUGUGAGCUCGAUGAGUAGGGCGGGACACGUGGUAUCCUGUCUGAAUAUGGGGGGACCAUCCUCCAAGGCUAAAUACUCCUGACUGACCGAUAGUGAACCAGUACCGUGAGGGAAAGGCGAAAAGAACCCCGGCGAGGGGAGUGAAAAAGAACCUGAAACCGUGUACGUACAAGCAGUGGGAGCACGCUUAGGCGUGUGACUGCGUACCUUUUGUAUAAUGGGUCAGCGACUUAUAUUCUGUAGCAAGGUUAACCGAAUAGGGGAGCCGAAGGGAAACCGAGUCUUAACUGGGCGUUAAGUUGCAGGGUAUAGACCCGAAACCCGGUGAUCUAGCCAUGGGCAGGUUGAAGGUUGGGUAACACUAACUGGAGGACCGAACCGACUAAUGUUGAAAAAUUAGCGGAUGACUUGUGGCUGGGGGUGAAAGGCCAAUCAAACCGGGAGAUAGCUGGUUCUCCCCGAAAGCUAUUUAGGUAGCGCCUCGUGAAUUCAUCUCCGGGGGUAGAGCACUGUUUCGGCAAGGGGGUCAUCCCGACUUACCAACCCGAUGCAAACUGCGAAUACCGGAGAAUGUUAUCACGGGAGACACACGGCGGGUGCUAACGUCCGUCGUGAAGAGGGAAACAACCCAGACCGCCAGCUAAGGUCCCAAAGUCAUGGUUAAGUGGGAAACGAUGUGGGAAGGCCCAGACAGCCAGGAUGUUGGCUUAGAAGCAGCCAUCAUUUAAAGAAAGCGUAAUAGCUCACUGGUCGAGUCGGCCUGCGCGGAAGAUGUAACGGGGCUAAACCAUGCAC